rnacentral:lncRNA from 1 species
UUUGGCUCUUUGAAAUUGAAAAUCAAAAAUUGUUUUAGUUUAUAAAACAGCCUUUCAGGAUAAUUUAAGCAUGUUACUGAAGUCAAAGUGAUAUCCCCUUGACAACUGAAUUUUCCAAAACUGCAGUAUUUGGAUAAUAUCACAGUUUUCGUGUACCAGUAGAAUUAACAUACCUGGUAGUUUUUUUUAAAGGUGUUAAGAAUUUAACUAUUUUUAAAAUAUUAGGGGUCAAAAAAACGGCUUUU